rnacentral:rRNA from 1 species
CAUGGAAGAAAGUUGAAAGGCGCUUUUGCGUCACUGAUGGAUGGACCCGCGGUGCAUUAGCUAGUUGGUGAGGUAACGGCUCACCAAGGCAACGAUGCAUAGCCGACCUGAGAGGGUGAUCGGCCACACUGGGACUGAGACACGGCCCAGACUCCUACGGGAGGCAGCAGUAGGGAAUCUUCGGCAAUGGACGAAAGUCUGACCGAGCAACGCCGCGUGAGUGAAGAAGGUUUUCGGAUCGUAAAACUCUGUUGUUAGAGAAGAACAAGGAUGAGAGUAAAAUGUUCAUCCCUUGACGGUAUCUAACCAGAAAGCCACGGCUAACUACGUGCCAGCAGCCGCGGUAAUACGUAGGUGGCAAGCGUUGUCCGGAUUUAUUGGGCGUAAAGCGAGCGCAGGCGGUUUCUUAAGUCUGAUGUGAAAGCCCC